GACAUAGGUGGCAAACGUUAUCCGGAUUUAUUGGGCGUAAAGAGCGUGUAGGCGGCCAAACAGGUCAGCUGUGAAAACUCGAGGCUCAACCUCGAGACGUCGGUUGAAACCGUUUGGCUAGAGUCCGGAAGAGGAGAGUGGAAUUCCCGGUGUAGCGGUGAAAUGCGCAGAUAUCGGGAAGAACACCCGUGGCGAAGGCGGCUCUCUGGGACGGUACUGACGCUGAGACGCGAAAGCGUGGGGAGCGAACAGG
rnacentral:rRNA from 1 species